GACGAACGCUGGCGGCGUGCCUAAUAAAUGCAAGUAGAACGCUGAAGAGAGGAGCUUACUCUUCUUGGAUGAGUUGCGAACGGGUGAGUAACGCGUAGGUAACCUGCCUUGUAGCGGGGGAUAACUAUUGGAAACGAUAGCUAAUACCGCAUAACAAUGGAUGACACAUGUCCUUUAUUUGAAAGGGGCAAUUGCUCCACUACAAGAUGGACCUGCGUUGUAUUAGCUAGUAGGUGAGGUAAUGGCUCACCUAGGCGACGAUACAUAGCCGACCUGAGAGGGUGAUCGGCCACACUGGGACUGAGACACGGCCCAGACUCCUACGGGAGGCAGCAGUAGGGAAUCUUCGGCAAUGGGGGCAACCCUGACCGAGCAACGCCGCGUGAGUGAAGAAGGUUUUCGGAUCGUAAAGCUCUGUUGUAAGUCAAGAACGGGUGUGAGAGUGGAAAGUUCACACUGUGACGGUAGCUUACCAGAAAGGGACGGCUAACUACGUG
rnacentral:rRNA from 1 species